rnacentral:SRP_RNA from 1 species
GGCCAGGCCCGGCGUGACGUCGGAGCGCCAACCCCGCCAGGGCCGGAAGGCAGCAACGGUACGCUCACUCCGUCGUGUGCGUCGUCAGCCUGGCCCUC